ensembl:snRNA U1 U1 spliceosomal RNA
AGACUUACUGACAGGGGAGAUACCAGGAUCAUGAAGGUGUUUUUUCCAGUGACUUAUCCAUUGCACUCCAGAUGUGCUGAUCCCUGCAAUUUCCCCAAAUGUGGGGAAUUUGACUGCAUAAUUUAUGGUAUUGGGAGGACUGCAUUCAUGCUUUCCCUUG